AGCACGGACGAACCGUGCCACAGCGCGGCUGCCCUCCCAAAUCCCAAGCAUAAGAUCGAGCCGUGAUCCUUCGUAAACCCAGAACCUUUGGGGUUGGUUGCUUGUACUCUGAAUUUCUGAUCAAAGCAACGCAGGAAAAAAAAGUCCACAUAACUAGCACAUCACUACACCCGGCAUCUUCUUCUCCCAAGCACCACCAGCAGAAGCUCCAAGCACGCGCUUAUUGGCAUCACACCCCGCUGGGUUUCGGUAUUUACAAUACAACACGCGAUCACGCGCGUACACGGGGGC